CAUGCUGAUGGGGAAGGGCACGCUGACGCCGCACUUGCCGGGCACGCCGGAGACCUUGCCCAUGUUGAUGGCCUUGAUGCUGGUAGCGAGGCUCUUGAGGCACCUGCACGCCGUCUGCCGGUCCGGGCUGCUGCGGGCCAGGCCGUUCAGCCCCUGCACGCCGGAGCAGCACUCCUUGCUGAUCGCAGAAGCCCUCCCCGUGACGUACGCCACGCACGGCGCGAGCUUGGAGUCCACCUGCCCGCACGACAGCGCCGCCGAGGCCUCCCUGCCGGCCAUCAUCAGCACCACCGCCGCCAGGACAACGGCGGCCGCCACAGCCUUGCUGUUGAGACGAGCCAUCGGUUAAGCUAUCUGGCUAGCAGGUGAUCAGAUGAGUGGGUGUGGUGGUGUGGAGGAAAAGGGUGUGGUUUGGAGGGUAUAAAUAGGGGGUAGAGGUGAACAUGCAGGGCAUUUGAUGCCCGUCGCUGCCAGGUCGUUGGCGGGUGGAAUUAAUUCACAACAAUGCCGAUCCACCAUGCAAGUGCAUGUACUCGCUAGAGAGUACGCUGGCUCUCUUUGCAAUUGGCAUGUGUCUCUUUGCUUUUAUUUUGUUUUUUUACACGUUUUUUUUAUUUGCGGGAAGAAAAAUCUUCACGCCGUAGUAUGGGUACAUCCACAUCCAUGAUGCAGAGGGUCAAGUUAGUAAAGCUAUAUCUCCACAGGCUAAUGAGGUGGCGCACGAGAUUACAGAGUUUAGUUUCCUUAUUAAUAAAACAAAUGGUAUUUUGUGCUCCGCCUGGUGUGGCAUUUGCUGUAAUGAAUGAUUAUAAGAAAAUUUUAAUUAAUUGAUACAUUGGAGUGUUGUUAAAAAAAACUAAGAUAAGAGUGGGGAACAGAAAUUUUACUCUACAGGACAAAGUAGUGAUUGUAGUGGCGGAGGCCCCCGGUGAGCAAGGUGUGGCGGCUGCCGCACCUUAAUUUGGUCCAAGUUUUUAAAUACAUGUAUGCAUAUUAUCAUUUGCUAGCUUGCUGGCUCUCGCUAGAUGAAAAAGAAUUGCUGAAAAAAGAAAAAGGACACGCAGCCACCCUAAUUGGGCCUAUGGCAAGGCCAAACGACCCAUGCAGCCCCGCUAUUUGGGCCUAAUCCAUCUCACGAACAAGCCAGGCAGCUCCCUCCAGCGCGCAUGAAGCAAUUCCCCAACCCCAGCAAAGCACGCGCGCCACAAAUUCUAGAUAGCGCGACGGCGGCGAAGCGAAUUGCUGUGGGCGGCGAGCAAGCGGACGCAGUGGAGGACGACGGUGGGCGGAGGACAAACAGCGCAGCUGGUUGCGGCCGAAGUCGGGACUGGGGCACGGACAGGGCACCACUUGCAGCAAACGUCGAGUGACUGCUGUGACCAAGCAAACGACGCGGCGGCGGCCAGCUCCGCCUCCCUUACGAGUCCGGCCAUCCGCGCCUUCGCCUCUCUCUCCACAUAGUCCUCUUCCUCUCUAUUCACUCGAUUGAUCAGAGGACGGGAUUGGAUUGAACGACCGGAUAGUCCUCCGAUGCGCUGGCUGGUGAGCACAUGUUUGCUAAUUGCACAAUAUUUUUAAUUAUUUAUAUAUAUUCGUCGCAUCGUUAUAUAUUGUAUCUAGAAAUUUUCAUGUCCGUAUUUGUGUCUCUACAGGUGCUUCGUAGGUUACACACAUGUUAUUCAUCAAGAUCAAUUGAAUUCGAAAGAAUUGCAUGCUAUUAUGUUUAAGAGUCCGCCGUAUCUUAAUUUUUUUCCCUCUGGAUUGUACGAAAGCAGAAGAGACGAGAACCUCCGGCAGAUCAAAGGAAAGGCAAACCAUGAAUUUGCGCUCAGGGCAGCAAUAAAACAGGCCAGUCGACAUCCAAACUGGUCCCCGGAAUGUCUAGGACGGCAACUGAACUUUCUACAAUUCCGUAACAGAGCGGCACCUCCACAGUAUGAAAAGAAGUAUUAAUAGCUUGAUAGAUCCGUAACCUAACUGUUGAUGCCUGGUUUUAUUGGCCUUGUUACUAGUUCCAUGAAGGAGUAGUUGCCAUCUAGGUAGCUUGCGUCUCACAACAAUACUCAGCUCUGAAACGUUGCAAUAUUGCUCUCGAUUUAUGCACUAGCAGGUGGUCAAGGGAAAGUGUUCUUCUACGUCCGACCUCAAAUGAGCUCGGAUGAACAGUAAAUUCAUAAAAUAUUUUGAAAAUGCUUCAAAAAUCUUAAUUUUUUACAGCAAACUUUGACUAAUGUUUUAGUAGCUUGUAAAUUUCAGUACAAAAUUAUACUUUUUGAAGUCAUGGCAAAAAAAAAAUUAUUAGUGCUUCAAAAUGCUUUUAAAAGUAGCAUUUUUAGAGUUUUGAUUUUGUUAGAGUUGUGUCGAAUAUUAUUGUACAAGGUAUGUUACAGUUGGACUUGAAGUCGCACGGUGUGUAGACAAGGUAAGAGUCGUGUCCUAUUAGGACACCUUACCCUUAUGUCUUUUAUAUAAUGAGAGGGUAGACACACGAUGUAACCUAUGCCAACAUAAUAGCACAGGUACGCGGGGGAGCCGACGACGUGUGCCGGUGUCCGGGCGGCCGGGGUGCGGUAUUGUGACAGUGUCACGGGGAGGAGCGCCCGUAGUCAGGCCCCGGGGAUGUAGCCAUAUCGAUGAACCUCGUUAACAAAUCUCGGUGUCGUGCUCGUGUGAUUGCUUGGUUCUCAGUAGAUCGACGGAUUGCCUCGGAUUAUUCUAACAAGUGGUAUCAUGAGCAAGGUUCGAGGAGGCUACAGAUCGUUGAUCUAGAGGAAAAAAAGUUCGGCUUGGGUCGGUUGUUCGCAGGAAAGAUGUCGCCGACGGAGUGGCAUAGGCGGAUAAGAAAUCGAUUUGAAGCGGACGAUUGCAAAGAGCCAUCGGGAGCGGCUGGUCGGGCCAGCACGGAGUGUUUCUCGACGAGAUCGUAUCUUUCUGAACGUGGAGCGUGUGGCAGCGGCCGCGUAAGCAUGCACGACACAUAUGCAAGCAGCGGUGGUCGAUCGGUCGAUCGUUUGGGUGGAAAGGUGCUCGUUCGGAGGCGUAUGCGAGGCAGAGGCUUCAUCUCGAGCGCUGAGGCAAAUCACGCAGGCUGGGCGGCUAAAAGGGCCCCGCGGGCGUGCUUGGCGCAGCUGUAGGCCCGGACUUGCAAGGGCGGAUGAUUUUCCCAAGUGCUUUGAUGGGUUGCUGCCUAGGCAAGCCAUACGGGCAAGGCAAAGGAUCCGUGUGGUGUUGUGCAUGCAUGUGAGAUUUGUUGGUGAAAAAAAGUAAUCUGCCAUGAUAUGUACGUCCCUUUGGAUGCAACAUGAUUAAAGAAAAGGAGUUUUGGAAGUUAUGGAGAUAUGCUCGGUGUAUCCAUGGACACUAUCAUGAAAUCCGGUUUUCUUUUAGACGUGUUGAGAAUUGCACACGAGAUUUUACCAGGAGGUUGGCAGGUUGACGACGUGCGUAUAAGGUCGGAGGAGUCUGGAGCAUGCCGUGGCAGGGAUCUCGGUUAAAGCAGAAGAUGGCGGUUAUUUUAGCAACGACAACAUAGGAGCGUGAUGUUGAUGGUGGCCAACUUUUGAGGCGUGGAAACACGUGGUGCAUGCAUGAGGGCUUGUACGGCUUUGACGGACUAUGGCGCGGGGUUGAUUUAAGAUUGUGUACACAUGAGAGCUUGAAGUCAACAGGGCGUGGGGUAGCACGGCCAACUACAUGAAGUCAUGUUGAAGGUGGAGUUGGAGUCUAGUGAAAGAUUUCACUCUAAGCUGAUGGAGGGGCUACGGCGUAAAUGCAUGGAUAGUCGAAGCCUAUUUCAGCGGAUAGCGAGAGACGUGUGGAUCGGACUGGGUACCAAUGGUUUGAUGGAGACGUGAUACUCGGCAUCGGUCGGAGAUGAUCGAUGGUUCUCUGCAGUAGGGGUUUGAGUGGUGUGGGUCUGCAGCCCUAGAGACUCGACCAGGACAGCAGAGGCUCGACGCGGGGAUAGCGGCGAGGCGUGCGGUAAGCACGGGACACAGCGACAGACCAAGGCACUGGUGGUCAGACAAACAGUGCAAAGGAUGCUGAAGUAGUGUUGGCCAGUAUCAGAUUCAAGUCGGUGACUAGGUCCAUCGUUGCCGGUUGAUGGACGGGAGUUGACCAUGGAGAAUCUGAGAAAAGUGAAGGAAAGUCUGAAAUUGACAGAAGCGGAGAGAGUACAUGACCGUAUAUUCUGUGGUGUUCAUUGCACAUGGCAAAGUAUGGAUGACAACGGAGGCGGAGUGUUAUAGUUAUGGUAAAUGUGAGAGACUAUCCGGAAAAAGGAUGAGACAACUGCAAAUUUGACUCCGGGGUGACACAGGACGACUGUGAAAUUCCUUCAAGUUUCAGACAGACGGUCAAGAAAGAUCGAGGAUGUUGAGUUCAGGUAACUCUUAUAUAUGACAUUCAAUAUGCGGGUUGUUCAUUUUCACGCAGGUCAGUGAUCAGUGUGUGAUGGCGUUGAACGGAUACUCCGGAAGUUGAAAGCACAAAGUAGAGUAAUAAGGAACUUAACUUUGCUCGAGGGUUGAUUGUGAAGAAGACGAGAAGGGAUUACAGUUGCAGGUGGAGUCACAUGAAGUCUGGGAGUAGCAGUGGUUCUCAUGGUGUAUCUCAAGUCCAAUGUACAUGAAGGUUCGACGCAUGGACGAAUCCAAGGUGGUGGAGAAUAUUCGCCAAGGUGAAGUUUGUUAGAGUUGUGUCGAAUAUUAUUGUACAAGGUAGGUUACAGUUGGACUUGGAGUCGUACGAUGUGUAGACAAAGUAGAAGUCGUGUCCUAUUAGGACACCUUACCCUUAUGCCGUUUAUAUAAUGUGAGGGUAGACACAUGAUGUAACCUAUGUCAACAUAAUAGCACACGUACGCGGGGGAGCUGGCGGCAUGUGCCGAUGCCCGGGCGGCCAGGAUGCGGUAUUGUGACGGUGUCACGGGGAGGAGCGCCCGUAGUCAAGCCCCGGGGAUGUAGACAUAUCGGUGAACCUCGUCAACAAAUCUCGGUGUCGUGCUCGUGUGAUUGCUUGGUCCUCGGUAGAUCGGCGGAUUGCCUUGGAUUAUUCUAAUAGAUUUUGAUUUUUUUUUGUCAUGACUUUCACAAAUGUGAUUUCAUGAUAAAAUUUCACAAGCAUUUAAAACAUUUGUCAAAGUUUGCUAAAAAAUAAAUUUAUUUAAAUAUUUGUACAAUAUUUUUAAAUUUACUGUUCAUUCGAGCUCAUUUGAGCUCGGGUGCAAAAACAAUCCGUGGUCAAGUGGCUUUUCAGCUCAUUAGUCUCUACAGUAGCAGCUAUAAAUUGUUUGUUAAUUCGGCACGUCUCUGCAUUCUUCUGAGUGCACUUCUUCUUUUUCUAGCGUUAAAACUUGCAGCCCAUAUUGCUAAAAAGAUAAGCGUGAUAACUAGCCCACACCCUCAUCCACCGUUCAUCACUCCUUUUCAUCCGACCCUCACUAGCUGCUCUUGGGUUAGUACUAGCUCACUCCAUCUGGGUUUAUUAUGUUCUCUUGUAUUUUCCCGCAAAAAAAAAGGUCCUCUUGUAUUUUCUUCAAACAUUGAUCAUGGAUUUGGUUUCCAAAAUACAUGUAACUGGUAAGUUAUAUGUGCAUAGCACAUGAGAGGCCAGAUAAUCAAAUUACAACCUCAGGUAGACAAAAUGUUAUUUUAUUAAUUAUAGCUUGCAAAUGGAAUUUUGAGGUAUAUGCGUGAAGUAUAAGAUGCGAAAAUCACAUAAAAUAUGUCGAGCAUGUUUUGUCCAGGUAUCUUUUUGGCUAUUCCAAAGUUAUUGUUCUAUCCGGAAAGAUGAAUAUGCUUUAUGAAAGUACAUAGCCUUGAAUAGGAAGUAAAAAUGAAUGAUAGUUUGGAUAUUAUUUUUUGGAGAGUGAUUUUUCAGCUCACGAGUGCCCCUACACCCUCUAUGAAUACUAAAUUCAAAAACAAUUAGAUAACAAAUUCAAUUUUUUUUGAAAAUUUACAACGUCAAACAUGAUCAAACUUCGUAGGUGCUUGCAAGUUCUUAUGCCACGAAAACAUUCGAGGAGCUCUACACAAGAAAACGAUUUUAGUGCUUGAAAUUUUGAGCACUUUUAGUACUGAAAUCUGAAACUUGUGCGUAGACCUUUCUUUACACAAUAUUUUGUUAUGAAAACUUGCAAGAACUUAUAAAGUUUGGCCAUAGAUGAUGUCGCAAAGUUCUGAUUUUUUUUAAAUUAUUUUCUUAUUUUUUUGAAUUUACUGUUCAUAGAGGAUGUAGGGGCACCCGGAAGCUAUCACACCUUUCUCUAUUUUUUAGGAGAGUGUGAGUAUGGAAUAGUAUAGAAUAAAGUAGAAGUGUGCUCUAAGUUUUGUGCAAAAUGUCCAUAUGGAUUAUCCCAAUCUAGAAUGUUCUAAAUAGUACACGUGGCAAAAUCUAGUGAAGUAAUAAGAAGAUCCAAGAGUCGGCAACACUCAGAUUUGCCAUGUCUCAACAGUCGAACCGGCUACAUCCAACAAUUGUUAUUUCAAGUUAUUUAUAACUAUCUAAUGGUAUAUACAGACACAUUAUUAAAAAUAAUUAUUAGAUUCAUAUUCAAUUUUUUUUCAACAGUAGCAUUUUUGCUACCCCCCCCUCCAAGUAAAUAGGGCGCCUAAGGAAAUCCAGCUUUUCCAACUGUACAAGUCGCGAUCACCUCAAUUGCUCCUUGUUUCCAUCAUGUGCCUCAUUUGCUACACCUCCCAUGCAUUUCCGUGUUCCCAUCCCCCACCAUCAUGUUGCCCUUCUGAUAUAUUCCCCUUCUCAUAUGAAACCCUUUUGCAUGCAUUCAUCUCUUCUCCCUCCCGCCCCCCUCUUUGUUUGAAAGAGAUCAUGUGGUAUCUCCAUGGUGUUCCCAUUCUUUUUUAAAUCAAAUCGAGAUGGAUAGAUAUCAUCUCACCCCAUGCUCUUUCCUUCUCAAACUGCCCCCCUAUAAAAAUGGACGACGAUUUCACCAAGCAGGGCUGCUAGGAGGCGGGUGUUGGUGACGGUAUGGACGAUAUGACGAUGGCCAACUAGGCGAGGAAGUGGCUAAAUAGGAGGACACAGAUGGUUGUGAUGGCGAAGACCGUCGGGAAGAAGAUUUACCAGUCAUCACUUGCAGUUCAGGUGUGUGGAGUGACACCAAAUUGGAGAAGGUAGUGGAUCACCUGGAAAUGGCGGAUUAUCUUAUACAAGAGAUGAUUAAGCAUGAAGAGGCCGAAUAUCUAGACACCUUAAGAGUUUGGAGGACACCGAACUUUCUUACUAUGUCCUAAUUAUUGAUAAAGAGGAGGUCAUGGAGUUCCUCGGCAAGAAGCGUGAUGCUUAUGCUCUACUCGUGGAGGAAUCGUUUGAAGAAGAAGAAGAAGAAGAAGAAGANNNNNNNNNNGCUUUCAUGAAAAAACAAAGAUCAAGUUGUCGGUUGGUUUGCAUGAACAAGAAGAAAGCAAACACUUGUGAUGAGGACAUCAAUACCAUUGUUACACCCACAGCCCAAGCUGAUAUACAUACUUUCUAAUGUUCAUGAACAUAUGAUGCUGCCUAAGUUAGAUACUUUUGUUGUACUUAUGAAUGAAGGACCUAGCAUGGACAAGAAGGAUAUCCGUUGGAGCGGGAUCAAGCAUGGAGAAGAACGUGCACGCGCGGGAAAGAACAAUGGAGCUUCCAUUCGUGAUUUUCGUACUUUGAAGCCACCGUAAGGAGAGCAUGAAGGCUUGGACGAAAUAUUCAAGACGUCACUUUAUCAAUUUCGUCCAUUUGCUAUUAUAGGUGCUAUGCCACCUUAUUUUUGGGCCAGGCCCAUGUAAUUCGAAAUACCAUAUUAUAGGUUGUUUUUAGAGUCCGUAUGUGUGGGGAAAUUAAGUUUAGUGUCGUUUUCGGAUCCAUCCUCCAAGGGUCACGAAAAUCCCUUUGUGUUCCCUCAUAUAUACAACCCUUAGGGCACCGAUUAGGCUUGGGUUUUGUUUAGAUUACAAGUUCUUCAUAGCUUCAACUUCGCGUUCUUUGCUUGUGUUCCACGACCUGACAAACGCGUCACAGAACCCCACCUUCAUCAAUAAAGGUGUCCUCUUAUAUUCGCAAUAUCCAGAUUGCAAUCUUAGUUUCAUGCACGCUCUUCAUUUGCGUGCAGGAAACAAACCCUUGUGGUCAGCUUGAUCGUGCUCCGGCAUGGUCAAUAACCUCUCGGAGUUGGUUUAGCGAUUGCUAAGGCACGAUGUCCUCACACAUUCGUAUUCGGGUCAUCAAAGUCUACUCCUCCAAAAACGAUAACCACCAUCUCAUCGAAAGACAGGGACAACUUUACCUCUAUCAAGUGGUAUCAGAUUUCCAGGUUGCUGGGUGAGAUUUUCCAGUUUUUCGUAGUUAGAUCGCAUUUGUUCUUCACACCUAUAGUCCACGGAAAAGACAAAAAAUAGGGUUAGAUCAUCAUAUCCGAACCAAUUUGAGCCUUUGCAUAGUCUUUUUAGUAUUUUGCUUUGUUGAAUUUGCGGUUACAUCGUCGUGUCGAGUUGCUGGUCUUAGUGUCCAGUCCUUUAGAGUUUCGAGUUCUGUUCACAGGUUGUUACGCCGCCACCGCGCCAUAUUUCGUCGCUGUCAUAUACCACCACCACACUACCAUCAUUGCUGCUGCCAUAUACCACCACCACGCCACCAUCAUCCUUGCUGCCAUAUAUCACCACCACAUAUCCACCACCAAUCCUAGUCCAAGUCCUUUACGUAUUAGGUUAAUUUCGAGAUCCUCUUGUUUUCGGUUUUGUGUUUCCUUACCUGAGCAGGUUUCGGAGAAAAAAAAGAGUGUGGCAUGCUUUUCAGAGCACUUUUUAGGCCAAAAUUUCGGAGGGUGAAAGUUUUUUCCCUAUCGUCUUGUUAGGAUUUUUAGAGAGUUUUGGGACACUCGGCACCAUAGUGAUUUUUGUCGCAAAUUUUGGUCGUCGCAGGCCCAAAUUGCUCCGGGAAAAAAAUAGUCAAUUUGUUUUUCGUGCCUAUCAUGUUUUUAGUCCUUUAGAAGAGUUUUGAGACACUCGCCAUUAUAGUGAUUUUCUGGAAAAAAAAUCAGAGUGGCUCUUCCCUUGAUUACGAUUAGGGUUGUGAUUUUGUUCGUGUUCUAGGCUCGCAUCUCUAGUACGGUCUAGCCUAGGACCAGCAUGGUGCCGUCGUUGAGCGUCCUUUCAACUUUGCAUUUCUGAACAGAUUAUUGCUGAUCCUUUUUGCUACCAUAUUAUAAGCCUUUCCAGCUCCUCAUACAUCUACAUCAUGUGUUUGACACCACCUGGCAAUCGCUCUAUCCAAGCUUUGAGAGUUUUUACUACACCGAUUGCCGAUCAUCACCUGCUGCUGGGUAAGAACUGGUAAGAAUUUGAGAUUUACUUGACGGAUUUGUGACACACCACCACCAAAACUACCACCACCUCCACCACUUCCUAGUAGUUUGUAGGUUCAAAUUCUUCUCUAUUCCUAUUGCUGCUAACCAUGCCAGGAUCACCAGCCGAUGAUAUCGACUGGGAGAGUCUCACAAACCAGGAGAUCCAUGAUAAAUUUCAGCAAAUGAUGGCUGACCAGGUACAAGACUUCGUGACCAGCCUUGGAGAGGCCAUGGAGAAGCUCGGCGGUUUGGAGAAUACAUUCGACGCCAAGAUGGACGCCAAGUUCAAUGAGGUGCUUGCCCGUCUACCACCAUCAGUUGCAGCUUCCGUCCCUCUUCAACAACAACAACAACAACAACAACAACAACGAGGCCCGGACAUGGUGGGACGAGCGCGACGUGUGCCUUCCGACCAAGUUCAGAAUUCUGGUGUUUUUCUCCUGCCGCUCCUACUAAGGUUUCCGUGGCUGAGCAAAAUGAGGAUUAUGAUGGUGAUUACGAUGAUGAGGGAGAGGUUGCUCCAAAUCAGCACCAGGGACAACAACCACCACCACAAGCCGCAGGUCAUCCACAUGGAUACAAUCGCAAUGGUAGGGCUGCACCCCCCUCAGGUACGGGAUCAUGACCAUCUCCCUAAACUUAAACUAAAUAUUCCUACAUUUGAUGGUCGAUAUGUUCCUGAUAUAUAUCUUACAUGGGAGUUAGAAACAGAGCAACGUUUUACAUGCUUACAAUUCCGUGAAGAUAGCCGUAUUGCUGCUGGUGUUUGUUCAUUCACUAGUUUUGCUUGUGUUUGGUGGUCUGAACAUUGUCGAAUACAUCAUGCUAAUAUUCCAACUACUUGGGCUGCUUUAAAAACUGUUAUGCGUACUCGUUGGGUUCCACCAUAUUAUCAACGUGAAUUACGUCAAAAAUUGCAGCGUUUAAGACAAGGAAUAAAUUCUGUAGAAGAAUAUCAUUAGAAAUUACAAACUGGCAUGAUUAGAUGUGGUAUUGUUAAGGACAAUGAAGCUAUGCUUGCAUAUUUUAUGGGUGGAUUAAAUAGAGAAAUUUAGACUAUUCUAGAAUAUAAGGAUUAUAACACCAUGACACAUUUAUUCCAUCUUGCUUGCAAAGUAGAACGUGAAGUGCACGAUCGACACACAUUGUCGAGAACUAACUUUUAUUCCUCAUGGAAGCCACGAACCUCAUCUACUUCCAGACAUCCUCCGGCAUCAGCACCGCCUACUUCAGCAGCCAAUUCCAAUAAAGAUACCAAGAAACAGGCCCCUGCCCCAUCCUUCGCCAAGAGCACACCUUCCAGUCCAACAUAUAGCUCAUCUUCAUCCAUGGCAUCCACAGGGCAAACACAUGAGGCUAUCUGUCGUCGUUGCAAGGGCGGAGGUCAUUAUGCGAGAGAGAGUGUCCUUCCAAGCGUGUGAUGAUUAUUAUUGAGGAUGGUUGAUAUGAUUCCGCUAGUGAUUAUGAGGAGGAGACUCUGGCUCUUAUUACAAGUGAAGAAUAGGGUGUAGAUGAUGUUGAAUAAGAGACACAAUACAUGGCUGCUGACUAUGCUGACAGGUAUGAAAGCUUAGUUGUUCAACGUGUUUUAAGAGUGCAUGUAACACAGGCUGAGAAAAAUCAGAGGCACAACAUGUUUCAUACAAAGGGAGUUGUGAAGGAACGUUAUGUUCGCGUAAUCAUCGAUGUAGGGAGUUACAACAACUUAGCUAGCAUGGAGAUGGUGGAGAAGUUGUCUCUCACCACCAAACCACAUCCUCAUUCUUAUUACAUCUAGUGGUUCAACAAGACUGGCAAGGUUAAGGUAACACAUAUUUUUCGUGUGCAUUUUAGCAUUGCUACAUAUUUUGAUUUUGUUGAUUGUGAUGUGGUACCCAUGCAAGCAUGCUCCGUUUUACUUGGUAGACCAUGGCAAUUUGAUAAAAAAAUUGUACACCAUGGUAGGACUAAUCAGUAUACUCUUGUUCAUAACGAUCAAAAUAUAACUUUGAUUCAUAUCUCUCCUGAACAUAUUAUGAAAGAUUACAUUGCUAGAGCUAGUAAAGCAAAACAGGACCUACAUAAGAGUGAAAAUCAGAUUGUAGAAAAGGAAUUUGAGCAACACAAUAAGCUUAAUAAACCAUCAUCUAGUGUUGCAUCUGAAAUAAAACUGAAGAGUGGUUAUUUACUUGCCAGUAAAUCUGAUAUUACUGAUUUGGAUGUUAUUACAUUUGCUUGCUAUGAUUACGUAUGGAAAGAGGUAUUAUUUUCUUUCGAGGACAUGCCUCCCUCUUUGCCUCCUAUCGUUAUUAAAAUUUUGCAGGAGUUCACUAACGUCUUUCCACAAGACGUGCCACCGGGAUUACCACCUAUUAGAGGGAUUGAGCAUUAGAUUGACUUAAUUCCCGGUGCAUCGCUACCCAACCGUACACCAUACCGCACAAUCCACAAGAGACGAAGGAGAUUAUGCAUCAAGUAUAGGAGCUGCUCGACAAAGGUUAUAUACGCGAAUCUCUUAGUCCUUGUGAUGUUCCUAUUAUUCUAGUGCCAAAAAAGGAUGGUACCUCAUGUAUGUGUGUUGAUUGUAGAGGCAUUAAUAAUAUUACGAUUCGAUAUCUUUAUCCUAUUCCUAGGCUAGAUGAUAUGCUUGAUGAAUUAAGUGGCUCUACAAUUUUCUCCAAAGUUGAUUUGCGUUGUGGAUAGCAUCAAAUUCGCAUGAAAUUGGGAGAUGAAUGGAAAAAGACAUUUAAAACUAAGUUUGGAUUACAUUAGUGGUUAGCUAUGCCUUUUGGGUUGACUAAUGCACCUAGCACUUUCAUGAGAUUAAUAAAUGAGGUCUUACGUGCUUUCAUUGGACGAUUUGUGGUAGUCUACUUUGAUGAUAUACUAAUUUAUAGUAGAUCUUUGGAGGAACACUUGGAUCAUUUGCGUGAUGUUUUUAUUGCUCUUCGUGAUGCACGUUUGUUUAGUAACCUAGGGAAGUGCACCUUUUGCACCAACCAAGUAUCUUUUCUUGGUAUUGUUACUCCACAGGGAAUUGAAGUUGAUAAAGCCAAGAUUGAAGCUAUUGAGAGUUGGCCGCAGCCCAAAACGGUCACAUAAGUGAGGAGUUUUCUUGGACUCGCCGGGUUUUAUAAGCGUUUUGUGAGAGAUUUCAGCACCAUUGUUGCACCUCUCAAUGAGCUUACAAAGAAGGAUGCGCCUUAUGCUUGGGGUACCGCACAGGAAGAAGCCUUCACGGUUUUAAAAGAUAAGUUAACACAUGCUCCUUUACUCCAACUUCUUGAUUUUAAUAAGACUUUCGAGCUUGAAUGUGAUGCUAGUGGAAUUGGAUGAGGAGGUGUGUUAUUACAAGAUGGUAAACCUGCUGCAUACUUUUCUAAAAAAUUGAGUGGGCCUAGUCUGAAUUAUUCUACUUAUGAUAAGGAAUUAUACGCUCUUGUUCGGACUUUGGAAACAUGGCAACAUUAUUUAUGGCCCAAAGAAUUUGUCAUACAUUCUGAUCAUGAAUAAUUGAAACAUAUUAAAAUUCAAGAAAAACUGAACCGUAGACAAUUCAUUGAGACUUUUUCGUAUGUCAUUAAACACAAGAAGGGUAAAGAAAAUGUUAUUACUGAUGCAUUGUCUCGUCGUUAUACUAUGCUUUCACAACUUGACUUUAAAAUAUUUGGUUUGGAGACCAUGGAAGAUCAAUAUGUGCAUGGUGCUGAUUUUAAAAAUGUCUUGUAGAAUUGUAAAGAAGGGAGAACAUGGAACAAGUUCGUCAUCAAUGAUGGAUUUGUGGUCCGUGCUAACAAGCUAUGCAUUCCAGCUAGCUCCGUUCAUCUUUUGUUGUUACAGGAGGCGCAUGGAGGAGGAUUGAUGGGAAACUUUGGCGUAAAGAAGAUGGGGGACGUACUUGUUACAUAUUUCUUUUGGACAAAGAUGCGACGAGAUGUUGAGUGUUUUGUUGCUCGCUGCACGACAUGUCAAAAAGCUAUGUCAUGACUCAAUCCUCAUGGUUUAUAUAUGCAUUUGCAUGUACCUGGUGUUCCAUGGGAGGAUAUAUCUAUGGACUUUGUUUUAGGUUUACCUGGAAAUAAGAAUGGGAGGGAUAUCCUAUUUGUUGUCGUGGAGAUAUUUUCAAAAAUGGCACACUUCAUACCAUGUCAUAAAAUUGAUGAUGCUGCUAAUGUGGCUGAUUUGUUCUUUCAUGAAAUUAUUCGGUUGCAUGGUGUGCCAAAUACGAUUGUUUCAGAUCAUGAUGCUAAAUUUCUUAGCCACUUUUGGAGAUGUUUAUGGGCUAAGUUGGGGACAAAAUAGCUUUUUAGUACUACAUGUCACCCCUAAACUGAUGGACAAACUAAAGUAGUCAAUAGAUUAUUGUCUACAAUGCUUAGGACUGUUUUGAAGAUAAACUUGAAAAUGUAGGAAGAAUGCUUGCCUCAUACUGAAUUUUCUUAUAUUCGUUCACUGCAUUCUACUACUAAGAUGUGCCCUUUUGAAGUUGUGUUUGGUUUCUUACCUCGUGCACCUAUUGAUUUGUUACCUCUUCCAUCUUCGAAACAGGUUAAUUUUGAUGCUAAAGAACAUGCUGAUUUGAUAUUAAAGAUGCAUGAGUUAACUAAGAAAAACACUGAGCUUAUGAAUGCUAAAUAUAAACUUGCUGGAGAUAAGGGUAGAAAACAUGUUGUUUUUGCACCUGGAGAUCUUGUUUGGUUGCAUUUGCGUAAGGAUAGAUCUCCUUAUUUGUGCAAGUCAAAGCUAAUGCCACGUGAUGAUGGUCCUUUCAACGUGUUAGAGAAAAAAAUGAUAAUGCAUAUAGACUUGAGUUGCAUGUAGAUUUUGGGGUUAGUCCCACUUUUAACAUUGCAGAUUUGAAGCCAUAUUUGGGUGAGGAAGAUGAGCUUCCGUCGAGGACGAAUUCAGUUCAAGAAGGGAGGAUGAUGAGGACAUCAAUACCAUUUUACACCCACAACCCAAGCUGCUAUACAUACUAGACUAGUUACUAGAGCUCGCGCACGCCAAUUGAAUUACCACGUACUUUCUUUUCUUGGAAAUCCUUCUAAUGUUCAUGAACAUAUGAUGCUGCCUAAGUUAGAUACGUUUGUUGUACUUAUGAAUGAAGGACCUAGCAUGGACAAGAAGGAAAUCCGUUGGAGCGGGAUCAAGCAUGGAGAAGAAGGUGCACGCGCCGGAAAGAACAACGGAGCUUCUCCUGGUGAUUUUCGCACUUUGAAGCGAGCGCAAGGAGAGCAUGAAGGCUUGGAUGAAAUAUUCAAGAUGACACUUUAUAAAUUUUGUCCAUAGGCUAUUAUAGGUGCCACGCCACCUUAUUUUUGGGCCAGGCCCCUGUAAUUUCGAAAUACCAUAUUAUAGGUUGUUUUUAGAGUCCGUAUGUGUGGGGAAACCGAGUUUAGGGUCGUUUUCGGACCCCUGCUCCAAGGGUAACGAAAACCCCUCUCCGUUCCCUCAUGUAUACAACCCUUAGGGCACGGUUUAGACUUGGGUUUUGUUUAGAUUACAAGUUCAACGUAGCUACAACUUCGCAUUCUUUGUUUAUGUUCCACGACCAGACAAAGGCAUCACAGAACCCAACCUUCAUCAAUAAAGCUUUCCUUUUAUUUUCGCAAUAUCCAGAUUGCAAUCUUAGUUUCUUGCUUGUUCUUCGUUUGCAUGCAGGAAACAUACCCUUGUGGUCACGUUGAUUGUGCUCCGGCGUGGUCAAUAACCUCUCUGAGUUGGUUUAGCGAUUGCUAAGGCGCGACAUCCUCACACGUUCGUAGUUGGAUCUCAAAGUCUACUCCACCAAAAUGAUAACCAUCAUCUUGUCGAAAGACAGAGACAACUUUUCCUCUAUCAGCUUGGGUGCAAUGUUAUUGAACUUCAUGAACCCAAGCAUGCUCGCAAGUGAUGGGAGCAUAAUUCCUCCGAGCGAGUAGUAACUUUUUAAUUAUUUAUUGUGUGCAAAUCCAUCACCUUGUAUCGGUUUGACCGUUUCGGAUAAUGUACAAAACGAGGUGAAAGUCUGUUUUAAGAAUUUUUUGUGUGUGGAGUUUGCAUUGUAAACAUACCUUUAAUGCAAAUGAGUGACUUAUAUUCCAUUCAUUUACAAGGAAUAUUUUUCGUACCAUACUUUGUGUGAUAAGUGAUUAAAAACAACAUAAAACGCGGGCUUGAUCAUGUUAUAAUUUUAGCAAGGUUUCAUGGGAAGUUGAAAAAAAUGUUAUUUCAUGUCUGCUAGUGUGGAGGCAUCCUAAACAUCACAUAAUUCAUUAAGAAGAACUUGACAUGUUUAAAAUACAUUUAGACGUUUGUUACCAUACUUUGUGCCAAAGAAGCCAAAAACACUGUAGAGCAGUGUGUUCUGUUGCCAUGGAAGUGUUUUUGACUACCAUGCACAAUCUGUUGGGUAACGUAGCAUAAAUUCAAAAAAUUUCCUACGCAUAUUCAAAUCUUCCUAUGGAGAGACCAGCAAUGAGAGAGGGGUGAGUGCAUCUUCAUACCUUUGAAGAUCGCUAAGCGGANNNNNNNNNNCAUCUCGCAUUAAGCAAGACCCUGAUUCAAUGUUCAUGCUUAAAGCUGGUACUAAAUAACAAUUAUUAAGGUUUAAAACUAAUCCCGACGGUAGAUGUAGAGGUAACGUGCCGACGGCGAUCACAUCGACCUUGGAUCCAUUCCCGACGCGCAUCGUCACCUCGUCCUUUGCCAGUCUCCGCUUAUUCCGCAGUUCCUGCUUUGAGUUGCAAAUGUGAGCAACAACACCGGUAUCAAAUACCUAGGAGCUACUAUGAGCGCUGGUAAGGUACACAUCAAUAACAUGUAUAUCACAUAUACCUUUAACGUUGCCGGCCUUCUUGUCCGCUAAGUAUUUGGGGCAGUUCCGCUUCGAGUGACCAUUUCCCUUGCAAUAGAAGCACUCAGUCUCAGGCUUGGGUCCAUUCUUUUUCUUCUUCCCGGCAUCUGGCUUACCGGGCGCGGCAACGGCUUUGCCGUAUUUCUUGAAGUUCUUCUUACCCUUGCCCUUCUUGAAACUAGUGGUCUUGUUGACCAUCAACACUUGAUGAUCUUUCUUGAUUUCUACUUCUGCAGACUUGAGCAUCGAGUACAACUCGGGAAUGGUCUUCUCCAUCCCUUGCAUGUUGUAGUUAAGCACAAAGUCUUUGUAGCUUGGUGGGAGAGACUGGAGGAUUUUGUCAAUUAUAGCAUCAUCUGGAAGUUCGACUCCAAGUGAAGUCACACGACCGUGUAACCCAGACAUUUUGAGUAUGUGCUCACUGACAGAACUAUUCUCCUCCAUCUUACAGCUAAAGAACUUGUCGGAGACUUCAUAUCUCUCAACACGGGCAUGAGCUUGAAAAACUAGCUUCAGCUCUUGGAACAUCUCAUAUGCACCGUGUUGCUCAAAACGCCUUUGGAGCCCCGUUUCUAAACUGUAUAACAUGCCACACCUAACCAGAGAGUAGUCAUCACUCCGCGUUUGCUAGACGUUCAUAAUGUCCUGGGCUGCCGCGGGAGUGGGAGGGUCACCUAGCGGCACAUCAAGGACAUAAGCCUUUUUAGCUGCUUCAAGGAUGAGCUUCAAGUUGCGAACCCAGUCCGCAUAGUUGCUACCAUCAUCUUUCAGCUUGUUUUUCUCUAGGAAUGCGUUGAAAUUGAGGUUGACGUUGGCCAUCUACAAUAUUUAUAAAGACAACUUUUAGACUAAGUUCAUGACAAUUAAGUUCAUUUAAUAAAAUUAAGUAUGAACUCCCACUUAAAUCGACAUCCCUCUAGUCAUCUAAGUGCUACAUGAUCCAUGUUGACUAACCCGUGUGCGAUCAUCACGUGAGACGGACUAGUCACCAUGGUGAGCAACUUCAUGCUGAUCGUAUUCAACCAUACGACUCAUGUUCGACCUUUCGGUCUCUUGUAUUCGAGGUCAUGUCUGUACAUACUAAGCUCGUCGAGUCAACCUAGGUGUUUUGCGUGUGUAAAUCUGGCUUACACCCGUUGUAUGCGAACGUUAGAAUCUAUCACACCCGAUCAUCACGUGGUGCUUCGAGACAACAAUCCUUCGCAACGGUGCACACUUAGGGUAAUACGUUCUCGAAAUUUUAAGAGGGAUCAUCUUAUUAUGCUACCGUCGUUCUAAGCAAUAAGAUGAAAAACAUGAUAAACAUCACAAUGCAAUCAUAUAGUGACAUGAUAUGGCCAUUAUCAUCUUUGCUCUUUCGAUCUCCAUCUUCAGGCAUCGCAUGAUCAUCAUCGUCACCGGCGUGACACCAUGAUCUCCAUCAUCGUGUCUCCCUGAAGUCGUCACGCCAACUACUACUAUCACUACUACUAUAGCUGAUCGUUAGCAAUGAAGUAAAAGUAGUAAGCACAUGGUGUUGCAUCUCAUACAAUAAAUUAAGACAACUCCUAUGGCCCCUGCCGGUUGUCAUACUCAUCGACAUGCAAGUCGUGAAACCUAUUACAAUAACAUGAUCAUCUCAUACAUCAUACAUGCAACAUCACAACUUUGGCCAUAUCACAUCACAUGUCAAACCCUGCAAAAACAAGUUAGACGUCCUCUAAUUGUUGUUGCAAGUUUUACGUGGCUGAUUUGGGUUUCUAGCAAGAACGCUUUCUUACCUACGUGACAACCACAAUGAUGAUAUGCCAAAGCUAUUUACCCUUAAUAAGUACCCUUUUCAUCAAAUCCAAUCCGACUAGAGUAGGAGAGACAGACACCCGCUAGACACCUUUAUGCACGGUGUGCAUGUCUAUCGGUGGAACCAGUCUCACGUAAGCGUACGUGUAAUGUCGGUCCGGGCCGCUUCAUCCCACAAUACCGCCGGAAAAGAAUAAGAAUAGUAGCUGCAAGCAAUUGACAAAUCAUCGCCCACAACCUUUUGUGUUCUACUCGUGCAUAGAAUCUACGCAUAGAAAACCUGGCUCAGAUGCCACUGUUGGGUAACGUAGCAUAAAUUAGAAAUUUUUCCUACGCAUAUUCAGAUCUUCCUAUGGAGAGACCAGAAACGAGAGAGGGGUGAGUGCAUCUUCAUACCUUUGAAGAUCGCUAAGCGGANNNNNNNNNNNNNNNNNNNNNNNNNNNNNNNNNNNNNNNNNNNNNNNNNNNNNNNNNNNNNNNNNNNNNNNNNNNNNNNNNNNNNNNNNNNNNNNNNNUACGGCACCUCCGCGUUCAACACACGUGCAGCCCGGUGACGUCUCCCGCACCUUGAUCCAGCAACGAGGAGGGAGAGGUUGGGGAAGAACUCCAGCAGCACGACGACAUGGUGUCGAUGGAGAGACGAGGUCUCCCGGCAGGGCUUCGCCAAGCACCGGCAGAGAGGAGGAGAAAGAAGGGCAGGGCUGCGCCGAGGGAGAGGGAAAAGUGUGUCCCCCAAUGGCCAAAACCCCUCUCUAUUUAUAGGAGGAGGGGGGAGGGCUGCGCCACCCCUAGGGUUCACUCCCUAGGGGCCGGCGGCCACCAGAUGGGAGAGGGGGGGGGGCGGCCAGGGUGGGAGAGGUGUGGCGCACCACCUAGUGGGCCUAUGGCCCACCUGCGCCUAGGGUUGCCCCCUCUCCCCACCACCUACGCCUUUGGCUUGGUGUGGGAGGCGCACCAGCCCACCUACGGGCUGGUUCCCUCCCGCACUUGGCCCAUCUAGCCUCUCGGGGCUGGUGGCCCCUCCCGGUGGACCCCGGGCCACUUCCGGUGGUGCCAGUGGUCCCGGUACGUUACCGGUGACGCCCGAAACACUUCCAGUGUCCAAAACAAUCCGUCCUAUAUAUCAAUAUUUACCUACGGACCAUUCCGGAGCUCCUCGUGACGGCCGAGAUCUCAUCCGGGACUCCGAACAACUUUCGGUAACCUCGUAUAACAAUUCCCUAUAACCCUAGCGUCAUCGAACCUUAAGUGUGUAGACCCUACGGGUUUGGGAGACAGGCAGACAUGACUGAGACACCUCUCCGGCCAAUAACCAUCAGCGGGGUCUGGAUACCCAUGGUGGCUCCCACUUGCUCCACGAUGAUCUCAUCGGAUGAACCACAAUGUCAAGGAUUCAAUCAAUCCCGUAUACAAUUCCCUUUGUCCGUCGGUAUAGAACUUGCCCGAGAUUCGAUCGUCGGUAUACCUAUACCUUGUUCAAUCUCGUUAUCGGUAAGUCUCUUUACUCGUUCCGUAGCACGUCAUCGUGUGACUAACUNNNNNNNNNNCUGUCUGUCGGUAUAGAACUUGCCCGAGAUUCGAUCGUCGAUACACCUAUACCUUGUUCAAUCUCGUUACCGGUAAGUCUCUUUACUCGUUCCGUAGCACGUCAUCGUGUGACUAACUCCUUAGUCACACUGAGCUCAUGAUGAUGUUCUACCGAGUGGGCCCAGAGAUACCUCUGCGUCACGUGGAGUGACAAAUCCCGAUCUUGAUUCGUACCAACCCAACAAACACUUUCAGAGGUACCCGUAGUAAACCUUUAUAGUCACCUAGUUACGUUGUGAUGUUUGAUACACCCAAAGCACUCCUACGGUAUCCGGGAGUUGCACAAUCUCANNNNNNNNNNAAUACUUUCGGAGGUACCCGUAGUGCACCUUUAUAGUCACCGAGUUACGUUGUGACAUUUGAUACACCCAAAGCACUCGUACGGUAUCCGGGAGUUGCACAAUCUCACGGUCGAAGGAAAAGACACUUGACAUUAGAAAAGCUUUAUCAUACGAACAAUACGAUCUAGUGCUAUACUUAGGAUUGGGUCUUGUCCAUCACAUCAUUUUCCCAAUGAUGUGAUCCCGUUAUCAAUGACAUCUAAUGCCUAUGACCAGGAAACCAUGAUCAUCUAUUGACUAACGAGCUAGCCAACUAGNNNNNNNNNNGCAUACGAAAAAUACGAUCUAGUGCUACGCUUACGAUUGGGUCUUGUCCAUCACAUCAUUCCCCCAAUGAUGUGAUCCCGUUAUCAAUGACAUCUAAUGCCCGUGACCAGGAAACCAUGAUCAUCUAUUGACUAACGAGCUAGCCAACUAGAGGCUUGCUAGGGACACAUUGUGAUCUAUUUAUUCACACAUGUAUUACUGUUUCCUGUUAAUACAAUUAUAGAAUGAACAAUAGACGAUUGUCAUGAACAAGGAAAUAUGAUAAUAACCAUUUUAUUAUUGCCUCUAGGGAAUGUUUCCAAUAGGAAUCACCCUCGAUGGUUCACGCUUGAGGGGGUUGCACGACAGUUUCAUUAUCGGAAGUGGUGAUGGAGGAAUCACCCUCCAUAAUCCACCUCCAGUUAACUAGACUACAGGGUUAACAUUAGGAGUACAUUGCGAGGUAUCACCCUUGGUACACGAUGGUAGCUCUACAGAGUCGUACAACUAAGGGGGGUGUAAAGUGAGGUGACGGGUCAUGACUUGUCAAUGGGCUGAUCGAGUCUUCGGAUCUGCGAGUCUUCAAGUCGUCGAGUCUUCGAUGAUGAAGUAGGGGCAACUAGGACUUAGUGGGGCCACUAGGGAUCACUAAUCCACCUAUACUAAGCAUUUGAUAUGCAGUAGGGUACAAUAGUAGUUUAACAAAAAUAGGCUAUGCAUCCGAAUAGGAGCUAUCUAUAACAGUAGCAAAAUCUAAUGCAAUCAUAAGGGAGAAAGAAUGGGUGAUAUAGGGAUGAUCAAGGGGGGUUUGCUUGCCUUGUUGCUCUGCUACAAAAGGCUAGUCAUCAGUGGUGUAGUCGUACCCGGCAGCAGCGUCACCUUCAGCCUCUAGUGGAGAGAAGAGGGAGGAACUAACAAUAAAUACAAGCAAGUAGAUGCAAUACGAUGCAUGACAUGGUAAUAUGCAGUGCUAGGGAUGAGCUAAUGCGGUACUACACGUUACUGAUGGAGUGGGAAAAUAUUUGACGAUAUUUCCCGAGUCUUUGGCUACUACCGCACAAAUGGUUCGGAGAGGAAAGUUCCAAGUUCAACAUUCUAGGAGCAUGUGACACAUGAACGUAAAGCGUAUUCACAUUCGUGGAAUUUUUGUGAGCAACCUUCAUAUAUAAAUUAUUUUCAUCUGACUUAUAGAUUAUUUUAUAUUAAUUUUCAAAGUUUUAAUAAUAUUCUAAAAUUAAUUUAUAUUUACUUUAAUUCAAAAAUUGUUUUAAUGCGCGAGUAUGACAUCACAGGUCAACCAACCAGUUUGACUAGUCAAACUAACCAGCGGGACCCACCUAUCAUAGAGAGUGGGGCUAAGACCAGCUCUAGCAGACCCUGUGUAAAGCCGCGACCCGCAAAAUAACCGCCAAAAUACGGGUGGACGCGGAAAAUGCUGCCCGACCAGACCCGCAAACGCGUCCGACCCGUAAAUAUUUUUCAGGUGUACGGCAAAAUCCCAUCCCCAACCGCGAAAACGCAGGUUUCCGACUCGCCCGUACGGUGCCCCAUAUCCUAGGAAAGCAGUUGGCGGGAGGGAAAUUUCAGCCCUUGCCAUUUCCCCACCCCCUUCCGCCGCCCCCCGCCAUUGGUUUCGCCCGUCCGCUGUUGGCGAUUCCGGCCAAAUCUACGGGCGAAAUCGCGCCGCGGGGGCGCCCCUACCCUCUUCCACCGAGCCGCUGCACCGGCUCCCCUGAUCCGUCGAUCCACCACCGGAGAGCCACCGCCCCCGUGCAGUCGGUGAGUUUGUACUUAUGCUUGUGCCAAGCGGUAUGCAUAGUUGGUUAACGCGGUGCGCGUAUUUGUGAAUUCAGAUGGAAUUGAGCCCGUGCGAGAAGCUUUUGCUUGACGAUUUGGACGACUCAGAUGUUGAGACGAUGCUUGUCAACUAUCGUCAUCAGACGUUGGUGAUGGACCUUGCCGUGAAGGAGCACGAAUAAGAGAACCGAAAGAGGCGGCAAGGAUCGACCGUUGACCGUCUUUGCAUUCCUCGAAAUCGCCAUGUCAAAAACGAGAUGUUGACGCAAGACUACUUUGUGGACAAUCCAACAUAUUCGUCGCACCUCUUCCGGAGAAGGUAUUGAAUGCGUCGAUCCCUCUUUGUGAAAAGUGUUCAAGCUUGCAAGGCCAAUUGUCGGUAAUUUGGAUGAUUAUUGUAUUGUAAUAUUGACAUUGUUCUUGUAUUGCAAAUUAAUAAUUCUGAAUAUGUGCAUAUGUGUCAAAUUCACAUAAAACCGCAUUUGAUAUGCACGCCGGCAUGGGCGCCGGCAAAACAGACACCGCCUAGCGGAACUGUAAAAUGGAAUAUUCGCAUUUUACAGUUCCGUUAUGCAGGGUUUGUUCGGCGAGCGCCCAUGCCGACCUGUAAAACUGUUUUCCGCGAGCUGUAUACGAGUUUUGCGGGUCGGCGAUAUACGGGGUGCGCUAGAGAUGCUCUAACAUGGUUUAAUUUAAUUAAAACAUCUAACUAACCUAAGAGGGCCCAACGUGUAAGUGGGUUAUUAUUUUUAAAUUAAUUAGAUUAAUUAAUUUCAUUUAAUUAACAUGUUAAUUAGGGGGGUCCACUAGUCACUCAAUUUGCUAAUUAACUUGAACAUUUUAAUUAGUCCUAAUCUAAUCGUAUGACAAACGACGCCCACGGGUGAGUGAGCCAGUCGAGCUGUUAGUUGCUCGGGACCCACUUGGCGACGGCGCGCCGGCGGUAGCACUCCGGUGGCCAAAAUAGCCGUCGGAGGGCUUAUGCCUCAUCGGAAUCUGGCGGUGGGCGGCUAUCUGGCGCACACUAGGGCAUGUUCGAUCGGGCGUAGGGCGUCGCAUUGACUGGGGUUGGUAGUCGGGCCGGGAGCGGCAGGAUUUUGCACCGGCAACGAGCCUAGGUGGAGGCUGUUGGUGGGGCUCAUCGGAAACGGUGAUGCGGGGCACGUUUAGCGGCACGGGAGGGCGUGGCGGUGCGCGUGCGUGGGUCAUGCGUGCACAUGUAGCAGAACCAGCUGCAAGCAGUGGAGGCACGGACCAACCGCGGACGAUGGCACGGCGGCGCGCGCGGGCAGCAGAGCAAAGGGUGUGGACAGAAGGGGAGGGGCGACUGUUCAUAGUGGAGCUCGAGGGAGUUCUCGGGGUAGCCGAGGGUUGCCGGAGGUGAGUGAAUCUACGGCGAGAAGCUUCGGUAACCGGCGGCACUAACGAGUCGAUUCCGAUGUUGCGGUGAUCUCCACCUUGAUCCGGUGCGUGGGUGAACGAAAGGGAGGCAUGCGGAGCUCCAUGAUGUGUCGGGGCGACGUGGCGUGGCCGGUGGUCUCGGGAACGGAGAGACACGGCGACGGUUGCUCUCGGAUGACUUUGAUGGAGAGCAAGCGUUGCGUGAGGGAGAGGGAGGAGUGGGGCUAGGGUUUGCCGGGGUGCUCUUGUAGCCAUGGCCACAUCCCCCCAUUGAGUAGUAGGAAGGAGAAGAGGGAUCAAGAUGGGUUGGGUGUGUCAUGGUGUUAGAUGGGCCAACAUGCACAAUAGAUUAGGCCCCUUUUAUUUUAUUUCCUCUAGUGUUUUACUAUUUCUGCUCUGUUUUGUACUAUUUUUACACAAAAUGAUUUUUGUAAAAAUGUGGAACUUGUCUCAAUAGAUUCUUUGUAAUAUUUUGUGCUGCCACAAAAAGUAUGAGAUUGAAAUAAAGUAGUUUGGCAUUUUUAUAAUUCAAAGGGCAUUUAAUUUAUUGUUUUGGCAUAUGUUGUGAUUGUUUUAGAGCUUUAAAUUGCUUUAGAAAAUGUUGGUUUCACCAAGACAAAUACUAUGUGAAUAUUUGCGACCCAACCAUGAGUUUAAUUUUCAUGUUUGCCAAAAUAUUUAAUCCACUUAUUAUCUGAAUUUUGAAUUUUAAAAGAAAUUAUAAAUGGGGUAUGAUUCCAAGAUUGAUCAUGCACUAUUUAGCAAAAUGUUGGUUUCACCAAGGCAAAUAGUAGGUGAUCAUUGUAACUUGAUUACACGGGUACUGUAGUUGGUAACCAGGGGUGUCACAGUGUGGCCCUAUCAUCCAAGAUGGCGGUGAUGUUGGUGGUGAUUUCUUUGACGAGGAUAGUGUUUGAGUUCAUGCAUACCUUCGGUUGGGAUCAAUAUACUGUUUAAUUGUUUGUAUUUAGUGCGGCUAGGCUGAAAGAAUUGAUAAAACAAUCAUCCUUCUCUAAAUAUAAGGGAUGUGUUCGGUUUGGACACCAUUAGAGGAGGAUAAUUACCCUCCUCUAAGGAUACUCAACCUUUUACUCCUCUAACGGACAGGGGACUGGUUUGAGUUUCUCUAAUAUCCAUAGAAGUUAUUAAAUUGUCUUCUGUUGGAAUAACAUAAUCCAAAUGUUUAAUUAGCUUUGGUGCAAAAAAAACCUUCUCCUUAAUUUGAUGGAAGGUACGGUAGUAGUGGUGGAGCUUCUUACAGCCAAAGUGGGCCACCCCCUCUCUCCACCCCAGCCCUUCUUGGCUCCCUAAAAAAUUUUGAAUGGAAGGUUUUUCCUUCAUUGUUAAAUAUUUCUGAGGGAAAAGAAGAUAAAUGAUGUCUCUUUUGGGAGCAAUCGCCCAUAUAUUACCCUUUUUUGUUUGUUGAUGAAAGUAUUGUGUUUCUAAAGGCCUCGUAUAAGAAUUUGUUGGGUCUGAAAAAGAUCAUGUAGGGAGUCCCUCGACUGAAGAUUAUAUUUGGUUGGCGUACCACUUAUGGAGUAAAAAAACUUGCAUUGGGAGUACCAUGAUCUUCUUGCUUGUCGGCCUCUCAUGAAGGAUGGCUGGCUCUUUGGGCUAUAGACUAUCCAGGCAAGAUUAAGGUGCACACAAAGAGCUUAUUCAAAAAGGCUUGGCACUAGGAGCAGAUAUUGCUCAAAAAGGAUCCAAGGCGGGUGUAAUGCAUAACAUGCGGGAGAGAUGAGACAAUACAUCCCAUCUUUUGUACUAUGGUUUCGCUCGUCAUUGCCACUCCUGCUACUGUACCUCUCCUCGUCCGAGAGGCAUUCAUUCUCUUUUGAUGCCACUUUUGGUUCCAUAUGUGCCCUAAUUCUGCAAACAUAUUGUGAGUGGUGGUGCGAGAACUGAUUGUGGGGGCAACGACCUCCAAAGUGUGAACCAAUCGAUAAUGACGAAAUAACUACUUGAGAAAAUGAUCUCCUCUCACUCGAUUUGGUGAACAAUUUGUAACAUAGUCGACCUUGGAUACACAAAAGACUAAGAGGAUGGUCUAUUGAGGAAGGCCAAUCUACAUAAAUAAAUAUACCUUGAUAUGUGGUGAGAUAUAUGUUUAUCCAUUUCUUUCACUAUGACUAAUGAGCUUGUUUUUACACAUUAUAUGCUUGAGUUCAUACAUAUUAUUCUAGAAAUUUGUCUCAAAUUUUCCAUUAGCCUUUUUAGUUUGUCCCUUUUCAUCUUGUAAGGUUUUUAAUUGGAUUAUAUCUUCUAUGGACUUACCAUGAUAGUCGAAACCAAUUCAGGAAUAGAGUGGAGAAGAUAUGGUAGUCUUAUUUGAAUAUUUAUGGGAGAGUCAUCAAGAUUAUCUCAAAUAGAGAAGUCAAAAAUGUAAAGUUAUUCGCCUAACCAAGAAGAACAACUUUAUUUUUUAGGUAAUCUCAAUAUGACCUUGUAUGCACUAAUUAUAGUUAUGUUACCGAACCAGCACCAGAGAGAACAAAUCACAAGACAAGCAACAAUACUUCCAUAUUAGGUGGUAGCAACAACCGUACCACGAGACGAUAGUGACGCAAAAGACCCAAACUACACGAUCUCAUUUUGGCCAAUUCUGGUGCAUUAGAGCGUUUCAAAAUUAGGUUAUAAUAAGGAACAAACUAAAUAUAUCUAACUAUAGCUCCCCGCCUUAUUGUGGUGCAAAAAUUCUAAAGAAUAUAUAAAAAACAUAUUUGAAAAUUUCAAACACAACGAGAAUGGUUUUUCUUGAAAAUUUCAACUCUGUUAAAAUUUUGAACACAUUUUAAAAACCAAAGUUUUUGUAUUUUGAACAAUUUAAAAAAUGAAACAUUUUCUUAAAUUAUGAAGAAAAUAUGAAAUCAUGAAUAUAUUUCAAAAAAUCGCAUAAUCAAUUUUGAAAACGCAAACUUUUUUGCAACAUCACAAAUGUUUUUCAAAAACACAAACUUUUGUUGAUUUUGUGAAAAACAAAAUCAAAAGAGCGACAUUUUGUGAAAAUGCUUAAAAUUAAUUUAAACACGAACAUUUUUAAAAUUUGUGAUAAAUAUUCGAAAGUGGGAGCAUUUUUUUCAAAUUUGGAACAACAUUUGAAAACUAUGUACAUUUUGGAAAUACUAAACAUCUUCCGGAACAGCAAACAAUUUUAAAAUUCCUAACCAUUUUAUUUAAAAGGUAAGGAAACAUGAUUUUUUCUUAUUUGUGAACAAAGUUAUAGAAUAUAAAUAAUCAAAAAAUAUGGAAUUGCGAAAUAAAAAGUAGAUGUUUUGUAACAAAAAUAUUUCUUUCAAUUUUGUGAAUAUUUUUAUUUUGGAAAAACUAUUUUGGAAAUAAAAUAGAAAUCCCAAUAAAACGAAUAAAUAUAAAAGAAAAAUUAUAAACCAACCAAAACCUUCUUGUUAGUUCCCAAAACCGGUGAAAACCCAGAAACAAUCAUUGAAAGAUUCGCAAAACCAAUGUGUACAAUAGCUGAACUUCGGCCGGCCAACUCGAGCUCUAGCAUUUCAUCUCCAAACAAAACCCUGCCAAUUUGGGGAUUCCCUAUUUGGCGCGGCAAGCACCCGUUACAGGCCAUUUUGCUAACGGGUGCCUGCAGAGCGCAUCCCCUCUUUGCGACUGGGUAUCCCCUCUCAGUCUGGCCUCUUUUUUUGUUAAUAUUUCAAAAAAUAUGGACUGGUAGCAACCGUCACCUAACUAACCCGUACACCAUCGCAAUCCAUGUGAUUGAUCAUCGUUUCCUCCCUUUUAUUCUUGUUUUCCUGGGUUUUUUGGUUCGCUACAGUUUUGGGCAUUUUAUUCCGUUUUUCUUGUAUUUUUCAUUGUUUUCGGAAAUGUGCAGACUAUUUUUUUAAAUCCUUAAAACAAUUUUUUCAGUUUUCUGAACUUUUUUUCAAAUUCGAUGAAUUUUUGUUCAAAAUCGAUGCACUCAUUUUUUAAUUCGAUGAACUUUUUUCUAAAAUUUGAUGGACUUUUUUUAAAUACGGUGGACUUGUUUAUAUUUAGAUGAACUUUUUUCAAAUUCGAUGAACUUUUUUUCAAAAUGAAUGAACUCUUUUUUAACUCGAUGAUUUCUUAAAAUUGGAUGAACUUUUUUGAAAUUCCAUGAACUUUUUUCAAAUUCUAUGAACUUUUUUUGGAAACCUAUUAACUUUUUUCCAAAUUUUAUGAACGUUUUUCAAAAUGACUGAAUGUUUUAUUAAAAUUAAUGAAACUUUGUCAAAUGUGAUAAACAUUUUUCAAAUUUUAUUAUUAUUAUUUUUUAAAUCUGUCAACAUUUUCACAUUUGAAGAUUUGUUUUUGCAAAAUCAGUGAACUUUAUUUUUUGAAAAAUCAAUGAACUUUUUGAGGGCCUGCAGGGGCGCUAGAGCUGUUUUAUGGGCCGGCCCAGCGUGGAGCGCUGCAGGCGCCAAUAACGCAAACGGGCGCCUGUAACACCGUAUAGGAGGUCUCGCCAAUUUGUCGGUUAUAAUUCGUUAAAUAGCGUUUCACCGGAAAUAUGUACCCACGCACUAAAAUAUAGUAUUGGUUUGUAAGAUAAUAUAGGAGUAGUAUAUUUUUUGACUGCGAACAUACCAGGACACGCGGGACUCACUUUCCGGAGCGGGCUCGCUUGCCGGAGCAACAAGGACUCUCCCUUUCUAGGGAGAUUAGAGAAUGUAAAGAUAUAAAAAUAAUAUUCCAGAAAAAAAUGUGUAUAUUACUAUGUAAAAUUGUUAAAUAGCUUCACAUAAUAAAGGUACUCGUAAGCUUUAUUCCGUGUUAUGCCUUACUAUCACUUUGCAGGUACUCCGCAAAAAAAUGCACUUUGCAGGUACGUCUAUGAAAAAGCAUCGCUCUUUUAGUACUCCCUCCGUUCCUAAAUAUAAGUCUUUUUAUAGAUCCCACAAAGACACUACUCCCUCUAUAAACUAAUAUAAGAGUGUUUAGAUAACUAGAAUAGUAAUUUAAACGCUCUUAUAUUAGUUUACGGAGGGAGUACAUACAAAACAAAAUGAGUAAAUCUAUACUACAAAUUGUGUCUAUAUACAUCUGUAUGUAGUCCCUUAGUAAAACCUUUAAAAAGACUUAUAUUUAGGAACGGAGGGAGUACUACACAGUAUGUAUGUGAGUGUUAUUCAUUAUCUGUGGAUUGUGUCCUAAAAUAUUAUACGAUGGAGCCCAUACUUGCAUAUACUAUUUAUCUAUCUUUAGAAGCCCAUGAUUGCUGGAAUUAAAAGGAUGAGCUAACAAAUACAGCAGAGACCCGUGUACAGUUGGAAAUUAAAUUCGUGGGCACAGAGCUCGUGGCUGUGAGCGAUCAGUGGGUCUGAUUAAUUACCGAAUGUAGGCCAUUUAAGCCGAGAAAACGAAAGCUGCAAGACCACCUAAUCCUAAUAACGCAGACAACUUCGUUUAAACAAAAUAAAAUAAAAACGCAGACAACUAUAGCACAUCCCAGCUAUACUACUCCACGAUGUAGGGUCUUGUCUCUCUGACUAAUGAGUUGUAGGUCGUCAGUUUGUGGUUUGCAAUCUACUCCCUCCGUAACCUAUUAUAAUAGUAUUUGGAUCAUUAGAAUAGUAAUUUAAAUGUUUUUAUGUUAAUUUACGGAGGGAGUACGUACUAAGUUUGUUUGCUUCCAUCUCAAAAGAAAACAGUUUAUGUGCUUCGACAGUUCGUAGAUGGACCUCACAUACUGUAGGAUCGAUAAUCUAAUUGGUUCAUUGCGCGCUUUCGCAUAGCCUGAAUUUCUGUCAAUGUUUCCGCAAAAGAAAAGGAAUUUCUUUCAGUGAUAGACGCGCAAACCAUGGACCAUUUCACAUGGGCAGGCACAUGUGCAUCGGUUUUGAACCGUUCAUCCGCAUCGUGGUCCGAACAAUGGUGUCGACAGAAAUUCGUUGAAAAUUAUAUUCAAAUUUGGUACUCUCUUAAUACGAGAUAAUAUACAUGUUUAUCUUGUACAAAUACUUCCUUUUUUAUUAGGAGGCCAUAAUUAUAGACAAAACUCCAACAAUUACAUGUCCAAUCACAAUAAGUUGCGUCAAACUAAUAAUUGAUCACGUGAACACUAACUUAAGUUCAUCUUCUAACCUUGAUGAUACAACUAUGCUUUCAUCCUUAUUGGUGUUAGUUAAUUUAGGUAUCACGCUCAAGAUAUCCGACAAUCUAUAAGCUCGUGAAGGAUCCGGUUUGGAGAAACAAGUUUCAAAUGAAUCUGAUGUUGUAGCGGCCCAGGUCGUCGUAAAUGAAUAUCUGAUCACCAGAAAUGAUUCAAAUGCGAAAUCUAACGGACAAAAUCUCCAAGGUCAUGAGAGAGCUCGGUUUUCGUGCAGUUUACUAUCCUAAAUAAAUAAAUGAAAAGAGUUUUUUUUCCAGCAAUUUCUGGUAUUGUAUAUUUGCUCCUAGUUAAGGCUUUUGUGGGAUGCUACUAACAAAUCCACCACAUUUUAUUUUUCGAAGUUCUCAUGUGACAUUAUAUUUCUUUUUAGAUGCCUCAAAAUUGAAGUAUAGAACUGUUUAUGCAACCAGAUUAUUUGCUUGUAUAUCCAUUGGUUUCACCUACACAUAUUAUUAUAGUCAUUCAUAGCAACGCGCGGAGUUUUACCUAGCUACAUAAUGAUUAGGAUGCCUCUACACGGUACAUAUGAAAUAAAUAUUUAUAAUAUUUUGCAAGUUCGCAUGAAAAAUGUGACAUGAGACUAUUUUUUGGGGUGCGUUUGGUUGCCUUGAGUGAGUAGUGCCUGCAUUUCAACCACAUCUCACUAGAGUCAGGUUUAGCAAAAACAUGCAACAAACCAACAUAUGCAUGUUGUUUGGUUACGUGCAUUGCAUCAAAGUCCACUUUAGGAUCGGCUGUUUGGUUGCCCGCAUUUGUUCUUAAGGGGUGAUCAGAGAAAACCACAAUUGUUUGACUGCAUACACGUUUGUAUUUUGCUCACCGCAUUCAAAUGUCAUGGCCUUACCACCACAUUAUGCACAACAACAUAGAAAUCACUAACAGAACGUAAACAAGCAGAUUAACAACAACAAACAACAUAAAACAAGAAGAUAAAUACCAGAUAAACCAUACUGCUAACUAGCUAGCAUCGACAAAAGUAAGUCAAGGGAAUCCCAUGCCCCUUACUUCAACACAGGGUGCUGAACCCCGUCAAAAUAUUAACAAGUUCCCAGCAAUGUCUCACACCACCACCUCAAACUAACUACUCCCUCUAUCCAUAUAUAUAGGGCCUAAUACGUUUUUUGAGGCUAACUUUGACCACAUGUUAGAGCAAGUAAUAUAUGACAUGCAAGUUACACAAAGCAUACCGUCAAAUUCGUACGUGAAAGGAGCUUACGAUGAUAUAAUUUUUAUAUUAUAUAUCUCAUAUAAUAUUAAUCUUAUCAAUAGUCAAACAUAGUCUCGGAAAAGGCAUUAGGCCCUAUAUAUAUGGAUGGAGGGAGUACAAGUUUAGAGGGACACGAUCAGAGGGCGAAAGCAACGUCAGUGAUGUAGUUGUCCCUGCCGCAGUGCACCCUGCACCCGUUGGAGCUGUCGUGGUUGUAUAUUUGAACCUUGAGGCCGAGGCCAGAGAUGUGCAGCCUAACGAGAUCACUAGGGGCAAUCCUGUGGCGGCGGCAGAAGUACUCCCAGCCCCUACCGAGGACCAUCCGGCCCUCGAAGUUCUAGACCUGGACCUAGAACUCGUACCACUUGUUGGUCGAGAGCCUCAUCACAUGCGGGAGCUUCACCGUCAGCCACUCCUUUACUACCUCCACAAACUUGGGAGGGAUGAUGACCAUGGCGAGGUCCUCCUCGUCCAUGAUUUGCAUGUACUCCCUCCGUUCCUAAAUAUAAGUCUUUUAAGAGGUUCCACUAGGGGGGACUACAUGCGGAUGUAUAUAGACAUAUUUUAGAGUAUACAUUCACUCAUUUUGCUCUGUAUGUAGCCCUCUAGUGAAAUUUCUAGAAAGACUUAUAUUUAGGAACGGAGGAAGUAGAAGCGAAGCGGCUCUCAGGACCACUCCUCGUGGCCGGUCUGAGGAGCUCAUCCGCUUGAACGCGGUUGACUCAUGAAGGAGACCCUGCGAGGCAGGUUCACCCUCUUCAUCUAGCAAUUCAUGGGUAUGAAGUCCACGCCAGCCUCGGCACCAGCGACGACAGCUGGUCCUCCUCCAACCUUGUCCCACCCCUUCUUCAUCACCUUGUCAGGUAAGAAGACAUCCAUUAGUAACAUGGACACUAGUACUACCUAAAGUAGCAACCACAUUGGUCCUACCUACCAUGAAUACCAUGCACGUAGCAAAAUCGGGCAACAUAGCACAUGAACCCUAAGUAUGAACAUCAAACACAUGAAGCAUAAGUAUGAACGUCAAACACAUGAACCCUAAGUAUGAACGUCAAACACAUGAACCCUAAGCAUGAACAUAAGAGACACUACCACAUGAACUCUAAGCAUGGACAUCAAAUAUAGCACCAAUAUAGCUAACUAGCACAUGAACCCUAAACAUGAAACCCAACACCUAACUAUCCUGCCUAUGAACACUACUAAGCAUGCAUAUCAAAGCAAGAACACUACUAUAAUGCCAAUGAAUAGUACCACAUAAGAAGGAAUCGAAUCCAAUCGAUUCAAUUCAAUUUGAAUUGAAUCGAGUCAAUUCGAAUCAGAUCCAAUGCAUGCUAGUAAUGAAAACCCAUAUCUACACUUCUACGGAAAGAGAGGGAUUAGGGUUCUUACCGGAGCGGCGCGAGCGUACGCUGGCCGGGGAGAAAACCCCGGCGGGAAGGAGAUGACUGGUGAAUAGGACGAGCCACCAAUGUCGACGAUCGUCGAGGAGGAGCCGCCAAUCCCGGUGCUCGUGGCCAUGCGUGCAAUCAAGGAGGAGGGCGCCAGCAUCCAUGGAACAAACCCUUGGAUGAGGGGGGGGCGAACCCCACCAACAGAGGGGGUUCCAACCAACGACAAGGUCACCGCCCCUUCCGGUGGCGCACCGAACCCAGGACCACGAGAUCCGGAUACGACGGCAGAGCUGGAGCAGCCGACACCGCAGUGGGCGGGUGUGGAGGCCUGGUGCACAGCGGAGACGACGCCCGCAAAACCCUCAUCUAGUCCACCCCGUAGUUCUCAAGCCAACAACCACCGCUCAUGGAUGCAGUUCUCGCCGGCGCUGAUGGGGGUCAGCGGACGGCACGGCUGCAGGCGACUCAUCAGAGUAGAGGAGAGGAGAGGAGAGCGAUGGGUGAUGUGGGGAGUGAGAGGCAGUGGUGUGAAUGCAGUACUGGACGGUGACAGGAGAUGGAGAGGUAGUUAUGAGACGUCUCGUCCGUCUCCCGCGCCUCGCGAGGCGUUCGGCCAAGAGCCAUGCGUGGGCGUGCUCCGCCAAGCUGCGGAGAAACUUCCGAUUCGGUAGUAGCUCCCAAUCCAGACCUCAAACUACUUUAAGUUCCAUGCGGCCCGAAACAUGGGUGCAACCUAGUUAACCAAACAUGCCGUUUUCUACCCGCGAGGGCUUGGUUGGCCCAAAUGCGAGCAACCAAACAUGUCCUUGGUGUUUUGACACAAAGUAUGAAAAUGAUGUGUUAAUUUAUUUGUAAACAUGUCAAAGUUCUUCUUACUAAAUUAUAUCUUGUUGGGGAUGACUCUGCAAUGGUACAUAUAAAAUAAAAAAAUUAGACACUCUAUUUUGACACAAAGAUUGUGUUGGAAAUAUGCCCUAGAGGCAAUAAUAAAAUGGUUAUUAUCAUAUNNNNNNNNNNNNNNNNNNNNNNNNNNNNNNNNNNNNNNNNNNNNNNNNNNNNNNNNNNNNNNNNNNNNNNNNNNNNNNNNNNNNNNNNNNNNNNNNNNNNCUUAAGGUAUCCUAUGAAUACACAUUUCUCCGCUUUGGGUUCGAGCUUCUCUAGUUGAAGUUUCUUCACAUAAGCAUCGCAUGCCCAAACUUUUAGAAACGACAACUUAGGUUUCUUGCCAAACCAUAGUUCAUACGGUGUCGUCUCAACAGAUUUAGACGGUGCCCUAUUUAAAGUGAAUGCUGCAGUUUCCAAUGCGUAUCCCCAAAAUGAUAGCGGUAAGUCGGUAAGAGACAUCAUAGAUCGUACCAUAUCCAAUAAAGUCUGAUUACGACGUUCAGACACUCCCUUACGUUGCGGUGUGCCAGGCGGCGUUAGUUGUGAAACAAUUCCACACUUCCUUAGGUGUGUGCCAAACUCGUGACUCAAAUAUUCUNNNNNNNNNNNNNNNNNNNNNNNNNNNNNNNNNNNNNNNNNNNNNNNNNNNNNNNNNNNNNNNNNNNNNNNNNNNNNNNNNNNNNNNNNNNNNNNNNNNNNNNNNNNNNNNNNNNNNNNNNNNNNNNNNNNNNNNNNNNNNNNNNNNNNNNNNNNNNNNNNNNNNNNNNNNCUGAAAUUCCUUGAACCUUUCAAACAUCUCAGAUUUGUGCUUCAUCAAGUAGAUAUACCCAUACCUACUUAAAUCAUCGGUGAGAGUGAGAACAUAACGAUAGCCACCGCGAGCUUCAACGUUCAUUGGACCACACACAUGAGUAUGUAUUAUUUCCAAUAAGUCGGUUGCUCUCUCCAUUAUUCCUGAAAAUGGAGUCUUAGUCAUCUUGCCCAUGAGGCACGGUUCGCAUGUGUCAAAUGAUUCAAAAUCCAGAGACUCUAAUAGUCCAUCAGUAUGGAGCUUCUUCAUGCGCUUAACACCGAUAUGACCAAGGCGGCAGUGCCACAAGUAUGUGGGACUAUAAUUAUCAACUUUACAUCUUUUGGUACUCACACUAUGAAUAUGUGUAACAUCACGAUCGAGAUUCAUCAAGAAUAAACCAUUCACCAGCGGANNNNNNNNNNNNNNNNNNNNNNNNNNNNNNNNNNNNNNNNNNNNNNNNNNNNNNNNNNNNNNNNNNNNNNNNNNNNNNNNNNNNNNNNNNNNNNNNNNNNGUUUUUAUUGCUUGGUUUGAGAGUCUGAUCUGUAGCAUAUACUGUCGUUAAUAUGUUUUAUGGCCCAUCUGCAGCUGUUUUGGGCCGUUUGCCUGGCACCACUGUGUACAGGAAUACAUUGCAGUACCCUGAGGCUUAUACAUACAAUGGGAUUGUUGUUGUCCGUGUUGAUGCACCAAUCUACUUUGCCAACAUAAGUUACAUAAAGGACAGGUCAAUAUCUUCAUCUGUUUAAGAACUUUGUUUCACUANNNNNNNNNNNNNNNNNNNNNNNNNNNNNNNNNNNNNNNNNNNNNNNNNNNNNNNNNNNNNNNNNNNNNNNNNNNNNNNNNNNNNNNNNNNNNNNNNNNNNNNNNNNNNNNNNNNNNNNNNNNNNNNNNNNNNNNNNNNNNNNNNNNNNNNNNNNNNNNNNNNNNNNNNNNNNUUUGUGAUCCUCGAGAUGUCUCGUAAGCCCUUCAAUUUUCUGUUGCAAUGUUUAUAUGGCGCAGACAACACUGCUGCCCGCAACUAUUAUUUCAUUUCCAUUCGAAAAAGAAUCUCAAUUGUACUCAUCAGACUACCUAGAUGAAUGGAUUAAAUGAUGGAAUUUGUUUGGCAUGCAGCUGUUACGUACAUUGACUCAAGCGCUGUUCAAGCUCUCAAGGAUCUGCACCAAGAAUACAAAGCACGCGACAUCCAGGUUCUUACUCUCAGCAGUUCUUCUAUUCACUAGUUAAGUACUCCAUGAUUUUUGUUGGUGAAGGUACCUGUGUGGAGCCAGCAUUUCAAAACGUUGGAGGCUUUUUGAUUGAUUGCAGAUCGCUAUAGCGAACCCUAACCGGCAGGUGCACCUACUGCUGUCAAGAGCGGGGAUCAUCGACAUGAUUGGCNNNNNNNNNNNNNNNNNNNNNNNNNNNNNNNNNNNNNNNNNNNNNNNNNNNNNNNNNNNNNNNNNNNNNNNNNNNNNNNNNNNNNNNNNNNNNNNNNNNNNGAGUUCAUCGUCGAAUGCCAUCAAGUUAUCCCCACAGGCGUCUGGGCACUUGACGGAGUCUCCCAAGGCGCAGCAGCGGUAUGGCUUCCUGAGGAACCUCUGGAAAGCACAAGAUGGGAAUGGGAGCGCCGGUGACGAGGCCCAGUCGUUGCUGCGCCAAAACCUUGUGUAGCCAACUGUCUCCCUCCCUCGGUGCCAAUCGGGAUGCAUGCAUUUGUAUUUGUGUUGUUGUGUGCAUGUAGAUUGUUCAGGGAAAAAAAUAAGGAUGCAAAUAGUCAACCCCCCCUCCUCCUGUUNNNNNNNNNNNNNNNNNNNNNNNNNNNNNNNNNNNNNNNNNNNNNNNNNNNNNNNNNNNNNNNNNNNNNNNNNNNNNNNNNNNNNNNNNNNNNNNNNNNNAAUCAGUGCUACUAACAUUUCGCACUCGGCUAUACCGAUUUUGCACAUAAACAGAUCCGAUGCCAAACACACCAUCUCGGUAGAACCAACAUUCUUAUCGGUGCUACCGAGAUUGGGUGACCAACAUUCUGUUGAGAUAACUUCAAGUUUUGGAAUUUCUGAGUUUGAAGUCGGUCUCACCGAGUUUGGGAACCAGUCUAGAUCAUCCUAUCGAUACCACUGAGAUUCAUAUAUCGACCUCACUGGGAAUUCAAAGUUGCCACAUUUAGUGCAACUCGGUACCACCGAGAAUGGCAUUUUGGUGUCACCGAGUUGGGAAAUAAUGUUGUAACAGUUGGAUUUUUGGAGAUGCCUAUAUAUACCCCUCCACCUACUUCUCAUUCGCACAGGAAGCACUCAGAACAUACUUACACUUGCCACAUCCAUUGUUCUGAGAGAGAGUGAAAGCACAAUUGCUCCCAAAGUUGGUCUUGGUAAUUAAUCACAACAUAUGCAUCAAUGGAUUACAGAGAUUAUCCAAGUAUUUUUCAGAAGAGUUCAAGCAUGCUUUGGCUAUAGAAUUGAGUGGAGACGCCCAUUUCAUGAAGGAAGGAUAAGAUUUGCUAAGGAAGAAGACUCUUCAUUUUACACUUUGUGAGAAAUCACAUUUGAGUUCAUAGGAAAGCCAAUGCUAUUAAAAGGGGAUGAGAUGUUAUGAUGAAUUGGUUGCUCAAGUGCUUAGAGAUAGCCAACAAAAAUACUCAGCCACUCUUCCACAAAAUAUAUCUGUCCCAAGCCAAAUAUCCAAAAUUGGUGCCACCAACAUUUAUCACUCGGCCAUACCGAUUUUAGACUUAGACAGAUCCCAGCCAAACCUACCUUUUCGGUGCAACCAAAUCUGCAUCGGUACUACCGAGUUUAGGUGACCAAACUUCUAUUGCCUCGGUACACUAAAUCAGAGUUUCUGAGUUUUUGUCUCGGUGUCACCGAGUUGUGUCAUCUAACCGUUAGUCACCUUUUCGGUUCUACCGAGUUGUGUAUAUUGGUUCCACCGAGAUUCAAAGUUGCUACCGUUUGAGCAAGUCGGUACCAUCGAAUUUGUAACUUUUGUGUCACCGAGUUGGUCAAUUAUGGUGUAACAGUCGGAUUUUGGAGGUUGCCUAUAUAUACCCCACCACCUACCUCCCACUCCUAGAGGAAGCACUCGGAACACACACUGCAUUGCUAGAUCCAUUUUUCUGAGAGAAAACCACCUACUCAUGUGUUGUGAUCAAGAGAUUCCAUUCCAACCAUUUGAACCUUGAUUUCUAGCUUCUCGGAGUUGCUUUCCACAAGAUCAAUCUCUCCUGCCCUUGCCAAAUCUGAAAGAGAGUAAUUGAGUGUUGCAGAUACUAUCUUGAGAAGCACAAGAGCAAGGAGUUCAUCAUUCUAACACAUAUAUUACCUUUCGGAGGAUGGUGCCUCCUAGAUUGGUUAGGUGUCGCUUGGGAGCCUCCUACCUCGUGUUGUGGAGUUGAACCAAGAUGUUUGUAAGGGCAAGGAGAUCGCCUACUUUGUGAAGAUAAACCGUGAGUGAGGCUAGUCCUGUGUGGAUGGAAGCCGUAGUGGAAUAGACAAGGCCGCUUCUUCAUGGACCCAUUGUGGGAGGAGACCUCCGUGCACUCUCGCAGUCGUUACCCUAUGUGGGUUGAAGUCUCCACGAACAUGGACGUACGAUAGCGCCACCUAUACUAACCAUGCCAAAAAAAAUUGUGUCAACCUCUUGCGUUUGAUCUCCCCAUCCUUCCUUACUUUACACCUGCAUGUUUUACUUUUCGUUGAUAUACUCUUAGAUGUGCAUGUGUAGGGUGUACUUGACUAGUCAUAGUUUCAAAAUCUGGCUUACGCUAAAAAUUGGGAAAAAGCUAAGUUUGUAUCUUGUCAAUUAGUCUAAUCACCCCCUUCUCUACACAUACUUUCAACCCUACAAGUGGUAUCAGAGCUUUGGUCUCCAUUGCAUUGGUUUCACAACCUAUGAGAGUAUGGCGUCUAGUGAGGGAAGUUAUCACAGUACAGGUCCAUACUUCGAUGGCACUAAUUUCUCUAAUUGUAAGGAUAAAAUAAAAUGCGUAUUCUUGGUUAUAAUCCUGCCGUUUGGGCUGUUGUUUGUGUNNNNNNNNNNNNNNNNNNNNNNNNNNNNNNNNNNNNNNNNNNNNNNNNNNNNNNNNNNNNNNNNNNNNNNNNNNNNNNNNNNNNNNNNNNNNNNNNNNNNCAUCAGCGGGAUUUGGAUACUCAUGGUGGCUCCCACAUGUUCCACGAUGACCUCAUCGGAUGAACCACGAUGUCAAGGAUUCAAUCAAUCCCGUAUACAAUUCCCUUUGUCUGUCGGUAUAGAACUUGCCCGAGAUUCGAUCGUCGGUAUACCCAUACCUUGUUCAAUCUCGUUACCUGUAAGUCUCUUUACUCGUUCCGUAGCACAUCAUCCCGUGACUAACUCGUUAGUCACACUGAGCUCAUUAUGAUGAUGUUCUACCGAGUGGGCCCAGAGAUACCUCUCCGUCACACGGAGUGACAAAUCCCGAUCUCGAUUCGUACCAACCCAACAGACACUUUCGGAGGUACCCGUAGUGCACCUUUAUAAUCACCCAAUUAUGUUGUGACGUUUGAUACACCCAAAGCACUCCUACGGUAUCCGGGAGUAGCACAAUCUCACGGUCGAAGGAAAAUACACUUGACAUUAGAAAAGCUUUAGCAUACGAACAAGACAAUCUAGUGCUAUACUUAGGAUUGGGUCUUGUCCAUCACAUCAUUCUCCCAAUGAUGUGAACACGUUAUCAAUGACAUCUAAUGUCCAUGAUUAGGAAACCAUGAUCAUCUAUUGAUCAACGAGCUAGCUAACUAGAGGCUUGCUAGGGACACAUUGUGAUCUAUUUAUUCACACAUAUAUUACUGUUUCCUGUUAAUACAAUUAUAGCAUGAACAACACACGAUUAUCAUGAACAAGGAAAUAUGAUAAUAACCAUUUUAUUAUUGCAUCUAGGGCAUAUUUCCAACNNNNNNNNNNNNNNNNNNNNNNNNNNNNNNNNNNNNNNNNNNNNNNNNNNNNNNNNNNNNNNNNNNNNNNNNNNNNNNNNNNNNNNNNNNNNNNNNNNNNGCAGUCAUUUCCUACUCUUGAAGGACUACUUCGAGACCCCCAACCGCUUUUCCACCCGACCAAUUUCAGCCCCAUUUUUGUAUGGCAAGACAUGUGUUCAACCGUAUCCAGGAGGGGGAUGGCGUGCGAUAAGUAUUUUGAGUGCAAGGAGGAUGCCCUUGAAAAGAUUGGCUUCUCCUCUUAUUAGAAAUGCACUGCAGCUAUUCCGAUGCUUGCAUAUAGAGUUCCCAGGCAUAUCAUUCAUGAGUAUGUCCAAAUGAGCGAGUCCACGUGUCUAAACUACAUUUAUAGGUUUUGAAAGGCUAUGAUAGCAAUGUUUGCCCCGGAGUACUUNNNNNNNNNNNNNNNNNNNNNNNNNNNNNNNNNNNNNCGGAGUACUUGAGAGAGCCAAAUGUUGCAGACACAACGCGGUUGUUGGCGAUGAAUGCCAGGAGGGGCUUUCCGGGAUGCUUGGUAGCAUAGAUUGUCUGCACUGGGAGUGAAAGAACUAUCCUCCUACUUGGCAAGGACAAUAUAGGAGACAUGUUAAAGCUUGCACUGUCAUACUCAAGGCCGCGGGUUCACAAGAUCUCUGAAUUUGGCACUUUUUUGGUAUGGCCGGAUCUCACAACAAUAUCAACGUGCUUUAACGCUCUCCGUUGUUUGCCACGCUUGCAGAAGGCAACUGCCCGGAGGUCAAUAUUGAAAUCAAUGACCACUACCACAACAAAGGAUACUAUCUACAUGACGGUAUCUAUCCUCAAUGAACUACUCUUGUGAAGACAAUCCUCAACCCUGUAGGAGAGAAGAGGAAGAGAUUUGUGCAAGAGAAAGAGAGUGCUAGAAAGGAUGUGGAACGUGCCUUUGGUGUUCUUCAAUCUCGAUGGGGCAUCGUUCGGUAUCCUCCUGGAACUUGGAGCAUCAAGAAAUUGUGGAUUGUGAUGAUUGCUUGCGUGAUCAUGCACAAUAUAAUCGUAGAGGAUGAACGCCUGGAACGUACCUUGUGACCAAUGAUUUUAAUUUCAAGAUGACAAUGUUGUGCCUGAGCAUGAAGGAGCGACAACAUUUGCACAGUUCAUCGAAUUUUAUCAUCAAAUGCGUGAUUGAAAAACUCAUAUUCAGCUGUAAAAUGAUUUGGUUGAAUAUAUGUUGGCUCACAUUAACAAUCAGUAGAUGUAGCACCUAUUUAAAAAAUGUAUUUGAGAUAAUUUAAGUUUUAUUUGACUUAUAGAAUAUGAGAUAUUUUAUUAACUUGUGGUACCAUGAUAUAUUUGUAUUUUGUUUGAAUUAUGUGAAGUAUGGAUAUAUUUUUUUCAUAUCAUUGNNNNNNNNNNNNNNNNNNNNNNNNNNNNNNNNNNNNNNNNNNNNNNNNNNNNNNNNNNNNNNNNNNNNNNNNNNNNNNNNNNNNNNNNNNNNNNNNNNNNAGCCACGUGCAUCGAGGUUUCUCCCUGCC
rnacentral:lncRNA from 1 species